CGUAGGUGGCAAGCGUUGUCCGGAUUUAUGGGUUUAAAGGGUGCGUAGGCGGCCCUGUAAGUCAGUGGUGAAAUAUCUCAGCUUAACUGAGAGGGUGCCAUUGAUACUGCGGGGCUUGAGUACAGAUGAGGUAGGCGGAAUUGACGGUGUAGCGGUGAAAUGCAUAGAUAUCGUCAAGAACACCGAUAGCGAAGGCAGCUUACCAAGCUGUAACUGACGCUGAGGCACGAAAGUGUGGGGAUCAAACAGGAUUAGAUACCCUGGUAGUCCACACUGUAAACGUUGAUGACUCGAUGUUGGCGAUACACAGCCAGCGUCCAAGAGCAAUCGUUAAGUCAUCCACCUGGGGAGUACGCCGGCAACGGUG
rnacentral:rRNA from 1 species